AUUGAACGCUGGCGGCCGGCCUAACACAUGCAAGUCGAACGCGUGGCGGACGGGUGAGUAAUGUCUGGGAAUCUGGCUUAUGGAGGGGGAUAACUACGGGAAACUGUCGCUAAUACCGCGUACCAUCGGAUGAGCCCAUGUGGGAUUAGGUAGUUGGUGGGGUAAUGGCGUACCAAGGCGACGAUCCCUAGCGGGUCUGAGAGGAUGACCAGCCACACCGGGACUGAGACACGGCCCAGACUCCUACGGGAGGCAGCAGUGGGGAAUAUUGCGCAAUGGGCGCAACCCUGACGCAGCCAUGCCGCGUGAAUGAAGAAGGCCUUCGGGUUGUAAAGUACUUUCGGUGAGGAGGCGUUAAUCGCAGAAGAAGCACCGGCUAACUCCGUGCCAGCAGCCGCGGUAAUUC
rnacentral:rRNA from 1 species